rnacentral:lncRNA from 1 species
CAAUGAUCCAGAUCCUCCUGCACACGAAGGAUUCAGCACAAGCUGGGCAAGCAGAGAGAUAACUUUUGCCUAAUUUGUGCUGAGCUAAGGAGCAGGAACAGGGGACUGCAGUUUGCCAUUACAAGAGGUAAUUUCUGCUCCCUGAAGCAGGACACAGACCUGGUCUCUGCGACCAUGCCGACAGGUUCUGGUGGUUUGGGCUCUGAAAAGAGCUUUUCCAGGAGUGCCUCUCAGGAUGAGUGUGCUGCAUGGAGCAAAGGGGAGGCUGGAGCCCCAGUGCUGCUGCUUUCAGUCCUGCAAAGGGGAGGCAGCUUUUGCUUCCUCCAGCUUCCCCCGGCUUCCCAGGGUGCUCUCUGACCAGCUCAUUUUAGCACAGCAUGAGCAUCUCACUGUUGAUAACUUUUAUUUUGCAAGAAUUCUGUGUCUCUGGCCCCCAUCAACAUCUCCUGUGCAUGGGCACUGAGGCAACUACUGAAACGUGUUAAGUAUUAACACACAGCAAAGAUUUCCAGAAUACCAUUUGUGUUUUCUUAGAGGUUUAGGAAAGAAGAACUGCCACCUUACCAGUAGAAAACUUUCAAAAUAGAUAUUAGUCAGUCAAAAAAAAAAAAUAAAGACAAAAAUAAAGACA